UACGUAGGGGGCAAGCGUUAUCCGGAUUUACUGGGUGUAAAGGGAGCGUAGACGGUAAGGCAAGUCAGAUGUGAAAGCCCGGGGCUCAACCGCGGGACUGCUCUGGAAACUGUGUAACUGGAGUGCAGGAGAGGCAGGCGGAAUUCCUGGUGUAGCGGUGAAAUGCGUAGAUAUCAGGAGGAACACCGAUGGCGAAGGCAGCCCCCUGGGACGCAACUGACGCUCAUACACGAAAGCGUGGGGAGCAA
rnacentral:rRNA from 1 species